rnacentral:rRNA from 1 species
AUGGCGGCGGCGGCGGCCACGGCGACAGCGGCGGCAACGCCGGAGUGGGCCACCAAAGAGCCUUGCCUCAUGGGCAUCGACGAGGCUGGACGCGGCCCUGUUCUUGGUCCCAUGGUGUAUGGCUGCAUGUAUUGCGCGCGCUCCUACCAUGACACUCUUGCCACCCUCAGUUUUGCAGAUUCGAAGACCUUGAAGGAGGAGCAAAGGGAGGAGCUGUUUGAAAGUCUGAAGAUGAAUAGCUCCAUCGGGUGGGAGGUUGAUGUCAUAUGCUCAAAAGUGUUAUCUGCCAAAAUGUUAAAAAGGACAAAAAUUAAUCUCAAUGAAAUAUCCCACAACUCUGCAAUGGGCCUUGUUAGAAAAGCUAUUGAUAAUGGAGUUCUACUAACAGAGGUCUAUAUCGACACAGUUGGAGAUCCUGAGAAGUACAGGGUCAAACUUACUGAAAAGUUUCCAGGCAUCAAAUUUGUGGUUGCCAAGAAAGCUGAUAGUCUCUACGCUGUUGUUAGUGGAGCAAGUAUAGUUGCAAAGGUCACUAGGGAUAGAGCCUUACGAAACUGGGUAUUUGAUGAAACAGCUCAGAAUAUGCACAUGAACACUGGAUCAGGUUAUCCAGGAGAUCCUAAUACUAUACAAUGGUUAAAAGAUCAUAAGCAUCCAGUAUUUGGUUUCCCAACUUUGGUGCGCUUUAGUUGGGGAACUUGCACGCCAUACUUCAAGAAUGGAGUUGAAGUCACAUGGGAGUCUGAUGAAGUUGAUGAAGAUGCAGCUGGCUACGGAAGCGCCAAGCGACAGGUCACGUUGUCGAGCUUAGGCUUCACAGGGUUCAAAAGGAAGUCGGAGGAGAUCGAAUCGAGUGGAAAAGGCCGUUGUAAGUUCUUCCAGGCUCGCAAACUCGAGCUUGUGAGAAAGUUCCAGUGA